rnacentral:misc_RNA from 1 species
GAAUUGUAAAAACGGGGCGUUGCUUUCGAGCACGCCUCUACAUUCAUAUCCUAAACACCUGUGAACCGUUGCUGAGCUCGCUCAGUGGCACACUUUACACACUAUAAAGUUUUGAACGUAAAAAAAGAAAAAACAAAAAAUAACUUUUGACAACGGAUCUCUUGGUUCU